GCCGGGCGUGGUAGCACGUGCCUGUAGUCCCAGCUACUUGGGAGGCUGAAGUGGGAGGAUCACUUGAGCCUAGGAGUUCUCUAGCAGGAUCAGGUGUCCGCACAAAGUUUGGCAUCAAUAUGGUGACCUCCCUGGAGCAGGAGACCACAAGGUUGCCCAAGGAGGGGUGAGCUGGCCCAGGUCGGAAACAGAGCAGGUCAAAACUCCUGCACUGAUCAGAAAGUUAAAGUAUCUUUUCUUAAUCUCAGUUUCCUCAUGUGGAAAAUGAAACCUACUUCU
ensembl:misc_RNA Metazoa_SRP Metazoan signal recognition particle RNA